GCUCGUAUGCCAUUAUAUAUCUCUUUGAUGAGCCUGUGAUGGGAUGGAUUACAUUAGUCAAGUUUCAAGUGUUGAACCAGUCUUGCAUACCUGGAAUAUAUCUCACUUGAUCAGGAAGGAGCCAGGUGUGAAUGCCCCAGAGGCUGAGCAGACGUCUUGGUGGCUGCCACACCAGGAGAAAACAGGAGCCCAGAAGCCCUGAUCCUGAGACUGACUGCCUGGAAGCUCACCCUGCCCCCUCCCCUCCACCAUCUCAGGAGGUGCGCUGUGGUAAAACCUGUGGAGAAAAAUUAUAGAAAACUUCUGAUUUUCUAGAUGAGAUUCCGAGCAUCAUCUAACUUUUUUUUAACUUAUGUGAAAGCAUUACUUUGACAACAACCAAAUUAGAAU